rnacentral:rRNA from 1 species
UACGUAGGUCCCGAGCGUUGUCCGGAUUUAUUGGGCGUAAAGCGAGCGCAGGCGGUUCUUUAAGUCUGAAGUUAAAGGCAGUGGCUUAACCAUUGUACGCUUUGGAAACUGGAGGACUUGAGUGCAGAAGGGGAGAGUGGAAUUCCAUGUGUAGCGGUGAAAUGCGUAGAUAUAUGGAGGAACACCGGUGGCGAAAGCGGCUCUCUGGUCUGUAACUGACGCUGAGGCUCGAAAGCGUGGGGAGCGAACAGG